GGGUUCCUCUUUAUGUAUUAGACUCACUCUGGGAGUCACGGUUGGAGCGGAUGGCUGCAGAGAAGCAACUGAGCGAUUAAGGGACAAUGCACCCACCGAGUUGGAAAGCACCCGUUUGCGAGAAGUUGCGCAUUUCGGGUACCCAUAGCGGUGAGAUAUCGGUAGCAGACAGCCCUUUUUCUGAGGAACUCUGUUUGGAAAGAAAGCUCCGCUGCCAUCCCUGACUCCAAGGGCAAGCCUAUCCUUUUGUCUUCACUUCUAUGUUGAGCGCUGUUUGUUUCGUUUUUAUGUCCGUGUUUAAUUUGGGAACCUCCGGUCUGUGCUAGUGCUGGGUGUGUGGCUGUAUCUGUUUGAAUACUUGUGAAAUCAGAAACAAUGGAACACUUGAAACAAUGCAACGAAUUGGACUGAAACCGUAGGACACUUUUCCCAUUAACUGGGGUUUGACUUCAUUGUGUUGAGCUCCUGAGUGAGGGAGCUGCGGACGGAACAGACAGACGUAACACCAGAAGUGUUGAGAGAAGGGAAAAUAACAGAGAAGCAUCAUGCUAGCAAACCUGAUUAUUGUCACUGGGUUCACAGAACUUCUUCAAUCAAUACUUUGCACGCACAACAGCAACCAAUCCCGUACCUGCAACUGCCGAGUCAGCCAAUCACAGCCUGUCAGCUCGACUGGAGCGCAGACAGCAUGUUUCAACAACAACAAACCGAGACACACACAGUGCAGUAAUAUUGCUCCAUUCAGAUAUCUGACACUGUUCAGAUAGACUAUAAACAGCUCUGAUAAGUAAAAAAAAAAAAAAAAGUGAUUUG